UUACGGUCAAAUCACGCUGAAAACACCGGUUCUCGUUCGAUCACCGAAGUUAAGCAUCGUAGAGCCAGGUCAGUAACACCUGGUACUAGAUGGGGGAGC